AACUACCAAACAUAAAAGUUCGAUAUAGGUAGGUAUACAUAUCUACAGAUCGGCUAAAGAGGACCCAAGUUGGUCCUAAAACGGCCUGAGGUAGAGGGGUUUUAGUCGGUAGGUCCGAGGACUUCUUCCUCGGGAAUCCGACACUACCCAGUCGUACGGACGGCUGGGUGUCUUCUGAAGAUUUCCCCUCUUCCACGAAA
rfam:Agrilus planipennis Contig13348, whole genome shotgun sequence.